GAUGAACGCUAGCUACAGGCUUAACACAUGCAAGUCGAGGGGAAACGAUAGAGAAAGCUUGCUUUUUCUAGGCGUCGACCGGCGCACGGGUGAGUAACGCGUAUCCAACCUGCCCAUCACUUGGGGAUAACCUUGCGAAAGUAAGACUAAUACCCAAUGACGUCUCUAGAAGACAUCUGAAGGAGAUUAAAGAUUUAUCGGUGAUGGAUGGGGAUGCGUCUGAUUAGCUUGUUGGCGGGGUAACGGCCCACCAAGGCGACGAUCAGUAGGGGUUCUGAGAGGAAGGCCCCCCACAUUGGAACUGAGACACGGUCCAAACUCCUACGGGGGGCAGCAGUGAGGAAUAUUGGUCAAUGGACGAGAGUCUGAACCAGCCAAGUAGCGUGCAGGAUGACGGCCCUAUGGGUUGUAAACUGCUUUUAUAAGGGAAUAAAAGUGAGUCUCGUGAGACUUUUUUGCAUGUACCUUAUGAAUAAGGACGGCUAAUUCCGUGCCAGCAGCCGACGG
rnacentral:rRNA from 1 species